AUUUGAUGAUGGGGACAGCUUGCGCACAGCUUCUUAAAUCUCUCCCAGUACUCAUACAAGCUCUUCACAUUGUACUGUCGAAUUCCACAAACUUUUUUUCUUAUGUU